GGUGCCUUAGCAAAGUGGUUAUGCACGGGUCUGCAACACCCUUCACACCGGUUCGAUUCCGGUAGGCACCUCCA
rnacentral:tRNA from 1 species